AGAGUUUGAUCAUGGCUCAGAUUGAACGCUGGCGGCAGGCCUAACACAUGCAAGUCGAGCGGCAGCACAAGGGAGUUUACUUCUGAGGUGGCGAGCGGCGGACGGGUGAGUAAUGCCUAGGGAUCUGCCCAGCCGAGGGGGAUAACAGUUGGAAACGACUGCUAAUACCGCAUACGUCCUACGGGAGAAAGCGGGGGACCUUCGGGCCUCGCGCCAUUAGAUGAGCCUAGGUCGGAUUAGCUAGUUGGUGAGGUAAUGGCUCACCAAGGCUACGAUCCGUAACUGGUCUGAGAGGAUGAUCAGUCACACUGGAACUGAGACACGGUCCAGACUCCUACGGGACGCAGCAG
rnacentral:rRNA from 1 species